UACGUAGGGGGCAAGCGUUAUCCGGAUUUAUUGGGUUUAAAGGGUGCGUAGGCGGCCUAUUAAGUCAGGGGUGAAAGACGGUAGCUUAACUAUCGCAGUGCCUUUGAUACUGAUAGGCUUGAAUGUACUUGAGGUAGGCGGAAUGUGACAAGUAGCGGUGAAAAUGCAUAGAUAUGUCACAGAACACCAAUUGCGAAGGCAGCUUACUAAAGUAUGAUUGACGCUGAGGCACGAAAGCGUGGGGAUCAAACAGG
rnacentral:rRNA from 1 species